rnacentral:lncRNA from 1 species
AACAGUAUAGUCGUUGUUGCAGGGGAUGCAUAUCUACAGGUAGCUAGAGUUGGUUAGUGAUAAUAUAGGAGCAUAUAGUUGUAGGGUUUUCAGCUUUCCUUACUAUCUCUUACAUACCAUUCUGUAGACUUAGUGGGUGAGCCGUUGAGGUCGGUAGCGGUACCCACUGAGGACUACUUCUUUUUGCAGUAGUUCUCACACUUAGUUGUUGACCCCUUUUUGCAGAGCCUUGUUCUGCGGCUGCUACUGUCGCUGAUACUGAUCGUGGAAAGAGAGUCGCGAGCUAGAUCCUUUCCCUGGUUGCGGUUCUAGAGGAGUACCAGCUACAGGUAGUUUUAGUUUUGGUUCAUGUACAUACUUUUGCUAGUUACUCGCUGGAGCGAGGGAUGAUGUAUCUGGGUGACUUUGUAUGUAUAGUGAACUUAAUGUUUAUUUAUAUACAGUUCAGUUUAGCAGCUCUAUACUACUAGUUGUAGUUUUGUAUGAUUACAGAUACAGGUACAGCUAUCGCUUCGUAUAUAAAAGAAAUUCUUUUGUAGACGGCGGUCUGUUGGCAUGCCCAGAAAAACGUAGUAAUCCGGGGCGUGACAUGUUAGAAUUGUUUAACACAAAAUUUUGUAAGAGCAAAAUUUCAAACCAAUGAAUGCAAACUGUUUGUCUUCUUAAUUGAUUGUCUAUCGCCAACGAAAGUGAAAUAAAUUAAACAUUGCACACUUCUUUUGUUCCUACAAAUUGGUAGGAAAGUGCUCAUAUUUUUAGAGUAAAU